GCCUGGGUGGCUCAGUCGGUUGGGCGUCUGAUUUUGGCUCAGGUCAUGAUCUCCCAGUCUGUAGGUUCGAGCCCCACAUCGAGCU
rfam:Felis catus isolate Cinnamon breed Abyssinian chromosome B2, whole genome shotgun sequence.